UACGUAGGGUGCGAGCGUUGUCCGGAAUUAUUGGGCGUAAAGAGCUUGUAGGCGGUCUGUCGCGUCUGCUGUGAAAAUCCGGGGCUCAACCCCGGACUUGCAGUGGGUACGGGCAGACUAGAGUGUGGUAGGGGAGACUGGAAUUCCUGGUGUAGCGGUGAAAUGCGUAGAUAUCUGGAGGAACACCGGUGGCGAAGGCGGCGUUCUGGACUGCAACUGACACUGAAAAACGAAAGCCAGGGGAGCAAACGGG
rnacentral:rRNA from 1 species